UACGUAGGGGGCAAGCGUUGUUCGGAAUUACUGGGCGUAAAGGGCGCGUAGGCGGCACGGCAAGUCGGGAGUGAAAGCCCGGGGCUCAACCCCGGAGGGUCUUCCGAAACUGCCGGGCUAGAGUGCGGAAGAGGCAACCGGAAUUCCCAGUGUAGCGGUGAAAUGCGUAGAUAUUGGGAAGAACACCGGAGGCGAAGGCGGGUUGCUGGGCCGACACUGACGCUGAGGCGCGAAAGCUAGGGGAGCAAACAGG
rnacentral:rRNA from 1 species